AUCUGGAGGAAUCCCUGGAGAAGAUAUUCCUGGAGGUAACUCUGAAAGAAUUUCCGAUGGAAUCCCUGAAAAAUUCCUGGAGGAAUUCAUGAAGAAUUUCUGAAGAAAUUCCUGGGGAAAUUCCUGGAGGAACUCCUGGAUCAAUUCCUGGAGAAAUUCCUGAAGGAAUUCCUGAAGAAAUACCUGGGGUAACUCCUGGAGGAAUUGUUGAUAGAAUUCCUGGAGAAGUCCCUGGAGAAAUGUCUGGUUGAAGUCCUAGAGGAAUGUCUGAAGGAACUCUUAUCCGUUAUUCUUCUUCUUCUUCUUUUUGGCUCUACGUCCCCACUGGGACUUGGCCUGCCUCUCUUCAAAUUAGUGUUCUUUGAGCACUUCCACAUUUAUUAAUUGAAGGGCUUCCUUUGCCUGCCAUUGCAUGAAUUUGUAUAUUGUGAGGCAAGUACAAUGAUACACUAUGCCCAGAGAGUCGAGAAAAUUUUCCCGACCGGAACGGGAAUCGAACCCACCGUCUCCGGAUUGGCGAUCCAUAGCCUUAACUACUAGGCUAACUGGAGACCCCUCUUAUCCGUUAUGUGCCCGACAAACUUUUUGCUUUUUUCUACACCGUGUAUUUUAAAUGAGUGCUGGGUACCCGGGUACCCUGUCGGCCACAUAAGGAUUAAAGGAACAUCAGAAAGAACUCCUGGAGGAAUAUUUGGAAUAAUUCAUAAAUAAAUUCCGGAAGAAAUUUCUGGCACAAUUUUUGAAGGCAUUCUUGGAAGUUUUUCUGGAUGAAUUCCUAGAGGAAUCCCUAGAGGAUUUCCUAGAGGAAUACCUGAAGGAAUGCCUGGAGGAACCCCUGGAGAAAUUCCUGGAGACAUGCCUGUAGGAAUCUCUAGAGAAAUUCCCUGAGAAAUCUUUAGAGGAAUUGUUAGAAGUAUGCCUGCAUGAAUUCCAUGAAGAAUCCCUUGUGGAAUUCCUGACGAAUUCCCUAGAAGAAUCACUGGAGCACUUUCAGAGGGAAUUCCUAGAGGAAUAUAUGGAGAAAUUCCUGGAGGAUUUUCUUGAAGAAUCACUGGAGCACUUUCAAGGGGAAUCUCUAGAUGAAUAUCUUGAGGUAUCUCUAUGGAGGAAUGUAUGGAGGAAUUCCUAGAGGAAUCCUUAGAUGAAUUCCUGGAGGAUUUCCUGAAUGAAUUCCUGUAGGAUUUUUUAGAGAAAUCCCUGGAAGAAUCCCUGGUCUUGAAGGAAUUCCUGAAAAAAAAACUAUGAGGAAUCCCGGAGGCAAUCCCAUGUGAAAUUCCUUAGGGAAUCUCAGGAGAGCUUUUUAACCGAAUUAUUUUAAGAAUUUCUGUAGGCAUCCCUGGAUAAAAAUAAAAUCUGAAGAAAUCCAUGUGUGCAGUCAUUUCUGGACGAAUUAUUGAAGGAAUACUUGGAUGGACAUUUCUGCAAAAAAAAAACACUUCGAAUUAUUCCAGAUGGAAUUAUUGAAGCAAUGUCUAGCCCUAGCGGAAUUCUGGAAGAAAUAUAUGGAGAAAUCCCUGAAGAAAUCUUAUAUAGUUUACGAAACUGAUAAGAAAUCUAAAGUCAUUUUGAUUCCUCAAAACUGCAAUGCCGAUUUGGAUAUUUAUCCGGCGGCCAGGUCAGGGACCCUAAGAUAGUACGUAAUUUAGUACAUUUUGCUCCAGUUGGCGGUGCUAGUGGUACUUUUUGCUUUGAUAUGUUUUUUGUCAACAGCUAGUGCUAGUAUCGUUACGCUCAUGUUGUGAACAUCAAGCGUGGUUUUGCAAUGAGUAGGUUUUUUUUAUUUCUUUGUGUUUGUGAAUUUUAACUUAAUGCUAAUUUUUCACACCAGUGCGUAGUGGUCUUUGGUUAAGUGUGGAGUUUCCGGCAAAGAUGAUUAGGGCAUCAAGAUCUAUCCGAUAUUAACUAGUUGAUUCUAGAUUUAUCCGCUGGUAGGUACUAGUGAGUCUUAGAAACUCAAAACUGCUACAUCUCGAGAAUCAGAUCACAUCUAGAAGAAUUUCAUCUUCGACAAAGUUGAUCAGGACAUCAAGAGCUGUCCGAUAGUGAACUUAGUUGACUCUAGGUUUAUCAGCUAGGCGGCGCUAGUGAGUCUUAGAAAAUCUAAACUGCUGUAUAUCGAGAACUAAACCACAUAGAAGAUUUUUAUCAUCCGCAUGGUUGAUCAGCUCCAUAUAGCCCAUAUAGCCGAGGCGGUAAACGCACGGGUAUUCAGCAUGACCAUGCUGAGGGUGACGGGUUCGAUUCCCGGUCGGUCCAGGAUCUUUUCGUAAAGGAAAUUUCCUUUACUUCCUUGGGCAUAGAGUAUCUUCGUGCCUGCCACACGAUAUACACAUGCAAAAUGGUCAUUGGCAGAGGAAGCUCUCAGUUAAUAACUGUGGAAGUGCUCAUAGAACACUAAGCUGAGAAGCAGGCUUUGUCCCAGUGAGGACGUUACGCCAAGAAGAGGAGAGAGAGGAUGGUUGAUCAGCUCAUCAAGAACUAUCCGAUAGAGAACCAGUUGAUUCUAGGUUUAUCCGCCGGGUGGGGCUAGUGAGUCUAAGAAAUUCUAAACUGGUAUAUCUCGAGAAUCAAACCAUAUUGAAUAAUUUCGUCUUCUACAAAGUUGAUCAGAACAUCGAGAGCUGUCUGACAGAGAACUACUGAUUUUAUAUUGCAAGUAUGGGGUGUUGCCAAAAUCGUUUUUUUAUUUAAAAAAUAAAAUUUUUAUGUUAUAGGUGUUAUUUUGGCUUAUAUUACAAAUAUGGGCUAUUCACUAGGUUUAAGACGCUGUCCUCCUUAGGUGACGCUCAUAAAUUACGUCAUGAUUUAAAAAAUGGUAGUUUUUGGAAAGCUUCUAAGCGCAAAUAACGCCUUAAAACUCUUACAACUAGUGAAUUUGACACUUAAAAUGCAAAAUGUAAUUAUGAAUUCACCCCCCCUUAACGCCUAAAGGUAGGCAAUUUCCUUUGAAAUAAGUUAUCACCCCACUGAUCAAUUUGACCCCGCUUUACGGUACAUAUUUCUGUAAUGCGCCAACUAACGACCGAUGUUGGGUAGUGCCCUAGUUAGUACCUACUUCUCUAGCAAAGUGAAGCUACAACGCAGUCACUGCUCAGGUAGGGUAAAUGUAGGCGUGCCUGCACACUAAUUUUCGAUGUUGAACUCAAAAGUGGGUUUAUGCAACGUCUCUCUAGGUCUAAGAUGCCGAAGGGGCAACGUUGCUCGUCUCGUAUUCAAGAGUGCAAUGAUGACGACUAUGUAACUUUGAUGCCGGUUCGAGCAAAGUUGUUCAAUAAUUAUAAUCAGCCAUCUGUAGUAUAACUAAUUUAAAAUUGAGUGAAGUUUGAGUAAAAAUUAGUUAGAGCCUAUGUACCUAUGUUGUAGUUCUACGCGAGCCCUUUUACAAGAAGCUAGAUCAAUAAAUAACAUAACAUUAGAUAAAAAUUAUGGAAAAUCUCGUUUGUUCACAUGGUGAGCUUACGUGCUUUUCACAUGUUAUGCUAGAUAUCUUUGCCGUCAGAUACCGAAAAUGGAGGUGAGAAAAUGCGAAUUAUACAGCCGUACAAAACGAUUCGCAUUAAUUGCAAUCGAACCAAACCGCCUACACCAGCCAUCGAAUCGUGAUCAACAGCAAUUUGUUGCAUUUCUUUGCACGCAUAUUUUGGUUGUGUACAGCAAACGAUUAAAUUUAGAAUACGCGAGACGAUCAAGGUAUAUCGUCGAGCGGCAGCGUCGGCGCGAUUUGUAAAUGCGUUUUUUAUCCAGCCGGUGCAACAAACAAGAUUAGUAAUUGCGAUGCACGUGCUGCCGUGUUUUUUUUUCGUCUAUCAAUUUACGACGAGGGCAAUCUGGUUAAUUUGAGCGCGCAGAACGUGUGCAAUCGGUAAUUGGUGAUGUCGAGAUUGGAUUUCUGCUCUGGGUUGAGAAUGUGCACUUUGGAAUGCGCAACAGCUUAUAAGUAAGAAAUAUUUUGAGAAAGAAAUCGUCGAAUGAGUGUAAUCAGUUUUGUACCUUUUAAUUCCGCCCUAAUUGUUUAUCCUUUGACAGAUACACGUAUUUCGACUACCACUUGUAAUCUUACUCAGUGUCGCUUGUAAUCUUCCUUAGUGUCAGUUAAACUAGAAGCCUAGAAAACUAGAAGACUAGAAGACAAGAAGACAAGAAGAAUAGAAUACUAGAAGACUAGAAGUCUAAAGUCUAGAAGGCUAGAAAAAUAGAAAACUAGAAGACAAGAAGACUAGAAGACUAGAAGAAAAGAAGACUAGAAGACUAGAAGACUAGAUGUCCAGACGACUAGAAGAUUAGAGGAUUAGAAGAAAAGAAGACUAGAAGACUAGGAGACUAGAAAACGAGACGACUAGAAGACUAUCCACUGGAUAACUGACACUGAGGAAGAUUGCAAGUGGUAGUCGAAAUACGCUUAUCUGUCAAAGGAUAAGCAAUUAGGGCGGAAUUAAAAGGUACAAAACUGAUUACACUCUUUCAAAGAGUGUAUUCUGCUUAGAGGGUUCGAAAAGUCGGUACAAGAAAGAAAUCGUUUUGAAUCAAUUCCAGUUGGUCUAGAGUGAAUAAUAAAUGACCUGAAUGACUGGCUCGUUGCGCUAGUCAGUGGCUACCACUUCUGAUUAGUAUGCUGAAGAUAAUUGGUUCAAGUCCUCAUCCAUUUCUUUGCAUCAACAUUUUUUUUAUCAAUGUGAACUUUUGCAAUGGACGAGCGAUUGCAUCAUCAAUCUGAGGUAGCAGGCUCUAAUCCCUAUGAUCACCAACACUCCUACGCUUAAGAGAAUUUCUUACUGGAUUUUUGAAAACAGUAUUACUCUAGCAGAGCUGAGCUAGAGCUUGAUUGACCGUCGAUCGAUGCUACUCCAGUAUCGCCAGACCAGCUACACUCACACAAGGAAUCAAUGAGAUUAUCUGCCGGGAACUAGCAGGCAUCUUCAUUGUGUGAGUGUUGGCGCCAAUGGCGUCUGCCACGUCAGGUUGCAGGUCAAUGUGGGGAAGGGGAGGGGGGGUUAGUGAUGAUUGCAAUCGUUUGUAUCCACAUCAGACCGAAUAUAACUGUGCGUCUGCACAAACUCAUGCGGAUGUCGGAGUGUUGGUGGGAUAUGGUUGGCAGAGGGUUCACACAUUGGUGCGUGGAUGCCAGCGUAAGGUGAUAGACUAGUGCGAUUAUUACUAUGAAGCAAAAGCGACACAGCUCGCUUGAUUGCAUAACUUGUAGGCGUUAUCUGAUAGAUUGACACUGUGCUGUGAAAGUUGGAAGGAAGGGAAACUGCUUUUCAAUCGUUUUUGGUUCUAGCGAUGGCUAUGAACAUAUGAAUAUACAUGAGUUGUAUAUGUAGAGUGAAGAGUAUAGAGAAAGUGGAUAGAAAGGUACAAAGUUGAAGGAAAGGAAACGCCGGGGAUUCAACCCAGGACUUUCUGCAUAUGAAUUAGAAGCAAUAGCCACUAGACCAUCAAGCCCGUCCACAGUUAGUAUUACUCUAGCAGAUUUAAAAAACUUAGUUUAGGGCAGUUUGGAGAUAAAAGCAUCGUAUGCUAUGAAAAUCUUUAAUAUAGCCAUGUUAUUAUGGGAUUCGGCCACUGAAUAUGUAUCGGAUUUGUUUCGCUGAGAAUGUUUUAGUCGAGUCAUUACAGAAGCUUUGCCAUAACUUUAAGUUGAAUUGAUGAUAGAUGCAACAACAAUUCAUUUUUGUAUACAAACACACACAGAUGGUUGAUUGCUAAAGUGCAACCGGAAUCGUUAAACCAUUCGAAGCCCAUAAACCCCAAUUAGGGAACACUUGUUUUGACUAUUGUUGAACCUCGAACAAUGGGCGUAUUUUGCGCCACAACAGCCCUAGUUUGCAAUAGCAGGCGCGGCACAGAGACACAGAAAUGCAGUAGCUAAUAACUUUACGAUCUGCUGUCUACCAAUUCAAAGGCAUUUAUAAUGCGCUUUAGUUGUUUAGCUGAGCUGCAAACUUUAUUACUUUUCGAGUGUAGCGCUGCUAAAUAUGUGACGACUCACGGAGCUAUGACUUUCUAGCACGUAUAUGUCAUAACCCGAGGCAUCACACUCCUCCUCUGAUGGUUGGGUGUGUAGGCGACGAAACCGAAGGUAAUUAUGCCCAGAAACUGUUUCCCUCGUAAGUACAUUAAUGCAAACAGUGUAUCAUGGUUGCUUGAAUGCGGUACUCGAGAAACUGUUAGACAGGGAAUCCACUACACUGUGUCAACUCAUAAGCAAGUGCUUUGGAAAUUAUGUCAACUUGGAGAGAUGGGUGCAUUCACUAUCAGAACCAAAGACAAUCUAAGCUAGUGCACGUGGUUUCGAUGUUCGUUAUGUGAGCAUUCAUUCACUUUUCGUCGUCAUUGUUUAUGAAAGAUUGAAGCAAAAACAACUCACGAUUACUUUUUCAAAAGGAGAAAAGUACACAUCAAUUCCUUUUUCAGGACAAGUUUAUUCAGAUUUGGUUUUUCAGUGGACCCAUUGAAAGAUAUUCAUUGGUGAGCUCGUUCCAUAUUAUUCAAAUAAAAACAGUAUGCCAUAUUUUAACUCAACAUUUAUUGAAAGGUUAAAAUGCAUCCACUUGAAAAAGUAAUCGAGAAUCGAUUACUCCAUGCAUGUACGAGGUGCAUCACUUGCUCUGUUGAACCUGACAUGAGUGCGGUUAAACAAUAAGCCAAGCUGUUGUUACUAGUUUACGUACUAGAAUCAAACCCAAUUCAAGAAACAUCACGAAGAAGAUGACGUAUACGAUCGUUCGUUCGCUCGUUCGUAUGCCAUCAUCAUGAAUGGAACCGAUUGUCUUUGCCUUAUCUAAACAAUUUGUUGGGUAAACAAAACUAAGGCUGGUUUUAGCUACAGCCAGCGGCGGCAGGGAAGUACCUACGUCGCGUCGGCUCGGCGAGGUAAAGUGCUGACGGAGGUUUACGGAGUACGGAUCGUGUGCAUGCGUUUGUUGUUAACACAAAUAACUAGACGGUCGUACCGAACUGCGUAGUUUUUACGGGCGAUCUAAUUAGGGCACAUUGCGGGGGAAGAUGUCACUGUACCAGCAGCAUACUUAUUUUUGGAGAAAGUUUGGGAUGUUUUUAUUGUUUAAACAAAUGCUUUCAUGAUUUUGCUUUCGGGGUUUGUAUUUUUAUUCAUCAUUGUGAUGUACUAUGGUGAUAGACAUUUGUUCAACCCUUUGGAGACGAUGUUUUCACCUUCCUGGAUACAACCUCGCUGGUCCAGAACACGUUUGUGAUGGUCGCUUUUCACGGCUGGGCAAAUUCGACCCAUCCGUCCCCAAUGCAAUGGAUUAAAACGAGUCCCAAAUAUUCCAAAAAGUGUCACUUCAUCGGAUUUCCCACCUUUGCUUCAAUUAUUGGAGCAAACAGAACAAAUGAAUGUUGCUUACACCGAUGAGCAAUUGAGGCUGACCUUCAUACGACUGAGCAUGAACAUGGGUCUGGACAGGGUUGUGAAAUCUCAUGGAAAUGUCAUGGAAAAAAUGUCAUGACAUUUUCCAGUUCCACCACUUUCAGUCCAAUUUUCUGCCCGUGAACACAAACCUUCAAUAAUGCUAGUUAGAAUUGGUAAAAUAACGAUAUCAUCGAUACACAUUUUUUCCAAGUGAAAUGUUCAGAUAACGAAAUGAUAUUUUUGUGAUACUUUACGACACUGGGUCUGGGACCAUUAAAACAGGGGGCCUUUUUUGGGUAUUUCAGUCUACACCUCAGUUAAUUUUAUUUCAAGUGACCUAGCUGUGAACAAAGCUUGGUAGGAAUUGGACUAAGUUGUAGCGGAAAGUGCCCAAAAUAGAUCACUCUUUGCCCAAAUGGUACCUAACCCUAUUGAUGACCGAACAAUUUGUACCAUCUGACCUUCGUACGUCUCUAUAGGAAGUUCUAGCAAGUACUUUUGCUUCACCGACGUGACGGAAGCUCCUUCAUCCAGGAACGCCAAUCGUUUGUCCUUGCAGUGAAACUGUAUCGGAACGAUCCGGAACACGAACUUUCACUUGUACAUCGUUUUGUGCUCCUGCGGAAAAUUUGCAAACAGGGGACACAGUAAACGUUAAAUUUCCUAUGUGAGAGAGCAAGACAGCAUCAAAGGGUGCACUGCACAGACUCAUUCACGCUUCAUCAUCCGAAAAAGCCAGAAUCCUACGUUUCCGAGAGAACGUAAUCCGUAAGUAGUAUCCGUUAUGCUCAAUAUGACAAUCCGCGAAUUCCGUUCCCCCAAACUUUUCUCUAUGUUCCAACUAGGCUCGCCUCCGAGGAUUCUUGAGUUUCAAAAAUCACUCUGGGAAACUUCAAACACAACUCUGGGGAUGGCCCUGAAUCCUUAUUAAACAGGAUUCUUCAGUGUUGGUGCCUAAUAUUUUUAGGAAUAAUUCCAAAAUCUUCCUGGGAUGCUUCAAUAGUUCAUGUAGGAAACAUCGAGAAUCCACCUGAGAAGGUUCUAAAAUCUUUUCGAAAUAGUUUCUGGGUUGGUUUUAUAGUACUUCUAGAGUAGUUCCAGAAUCUUUUAAGAAUGUGCUCAACAUACUUCUGGGAUGAUUUCAAGAUCAUUCAGGGAUGCUUCAAGUAUCCCUUUGGGAAACAUUCUGAGUUGGAUCCUCAACCGUUGAGGAUAGGUUCUAGAAUCCUACUGGCAUAAUUUCAGAAUCCCAGAAUCCUUCCAGGAUGAUUCCAACAUCCUUCAGCGAUGGUCACAAAGCCGUUCAAUAGUUUUCCUGGGAAUCAUUCCGGUAUAUCUAUUGAUGACUCCUUAAUAUUUCUAAGAAGCUUCCAAAAUCAUUUAGGGAUAUUCCCGAGGGGGUGAUGAAUUCGGUACCGUAAACCGGGGUCAAAUUGAUCUCCGGGUUGAAAUUGAUCAGUCGAUUUUCAAGUAGAUAAAGCAUUUUUUGAACAGUUUCUCUACAAAUUGCAUCAAGUAUCAGAUUCCAACAGCACGAUACUUAAAAUAAAACUUUAAAAAAUAUGCUUUUUCUAACCGAAAAACGUCUGAUCAAUUUCGACCCGACGAUCAAUUUGACCCCGGUUUACGGUACAUUGCUGGAGAUUCUGAAUUCUGCUGGGAUGAUUCUGAAAAGAGGGUGCUCUAAAUUCCUCCAGGAGAUAUUCGGGAAUUCUUCGAGGUGUUCCUUAGGAAUGCACCGUGAAGUUCCCCGGGAAAACCUCUAGGGAUCCCUUGGAAAUUUCCUUGUGACUUCCUGCUGAAUUCCACAGGAAUUCAUCCAGAAGUUAUUCGAAAAUUUUCCCAGGAUAUCUUCGGAAAUUCCUCCAGAAGUUUCUCGAGAAUUCCCCCAGAAGUUCAUCACGAAUUAAUACAGGAAUUCCUUAUGAAUUCCGCUGAAGUUCCUGAAAAAUUUCUCUGGGCGUUCCUAGGGAAUGCCUCUAGGAGUUUCUCAGGAAUUCAAUCAAAAGUUCCUCGAGGAUACUCCCAAUAAUCCCUUGAAAAUUCCUCCACAACCUUCUCGAGAAUUCCUCAAAAAAUCAUCCAGAAGUUCUUCGAAAAUUCUUAGCUUAACUUAGCUUAGACUGACUGUACAUGUCAAUGGUUGCUCCUCCGUAAUUGGUCUGAACUGGAAUGAAUUGCACUGAGAUCCAACUUGUAGGUUCUGGUUCUAGCGAUGGCUAUGAACGUAUGAAUAUACAUGAGCUGCAUAUGUAUAAAAGAGAGAGAGAAAGUAGAUAUAAAGAUACAAAGUAAGAGGAAUGCUUUAGAAUCAGAAGCGGUAGCCACAUCAAGCCCGUCUAAAAAAAGUUAUAUUCUUGUUAAUACAGGUCAAAAAUUGAGAUAUUAUUAUUGAUGUUAUUCCUUCACAUGUUAAAUUUUAAGCACCAUCAGACGAUCUGAACGUAAUAACUUUUGUCACAAGUGUCGGAUCACUUUGUGGUCUUCGACAAAGUCUUUCGGCAUAUCCUUCAACGUUAUUCUUAGGCUAUUUCAGCGUUAGUAAGAUCGUUUUACACAAAAAAAUCAUUUUAUGCAAAAUUUCAUACGAAUUUCUAUCACAAUGCAGAAUACGGGGAUGCAACCAAUCGCUCCCAAAUUGUGUACAGUUGUUUUGGACGCUAAAACGAAUCAAAAGCUUCGUGCUAAAAAAUCGAUUUUGUUAACUCAGUUUAAUAUAUGACACAUUCUACCGUGACGUUACAACGUUUUGACGCAUUCGUAGUUAGAUUUUCCACUAUAACUCAUGAAAACGAGCGUAAACCUCAAAAUAGUUUUUCAUAUUCGGAUUCCUUGUAAAAUUUCUGAUAUAUUUGACCUAUUGAACAUUUAGUUUUCAUUAGAAAAACGUGUUCAAAAUGCGUAUUUGUAGCGUGACGUUACAACGCGCUAGAAUCCGACCCUCUCUAACGCGCUACCAACAUCUUCAAAUAUCUGCUCGGAUUUUUAUGAUAUUCUGAAUUUUUUUCACCAUUGAAAUUUAUUGGUUUGUUCUUCAACUCAAUGGAAUAAAACAUUUAAAUUUCGGAUUUGUUUUUGGAUAAUCGACUUUUACAUUUCGUGACGUUACAACGCCCGUUCAGUUUCAAACAGGGUUCUGCUUGCGUUGUAACGUCACGGAAAUGCACAUCAUGUAAGAAUCAGAAUAAUCAGCCAAAUUUACCCGAAUUUGUGAAUAUAUCAUUGCAUUAUCUUCACUGCUUCAAGGAGAACUUUAUUCUAUUGAAAAUCCGUUUUGUGAUAAAUGGCUCGGGGGGGGGGCAAGUUAUUGCUAUCAAUAGUAUGAAUACUCCUUCAUGAAGGUUAAUGACACCGGCACCCAUCUUCGGUUUAGUAUCACCCAUAUUCUUCUAGUUUUGUUCCAAAGACUAGCGCGCUGAGAUCCAUUAUUUUGCACCGCCAGAUAUUGAAAUUUUCCAGCAUAACUCAUCACGCCGUCGAUUUAAACAUUUUUUCAAUAAUUUAUGCAAUGUCAUUGAUUCAAUUAAAGACGCUUUAAGAUGUGCGAGCAGUUAUGAAAACAAAGACAUACCUGAGGAUCUGCAUACCACUUAGAGGCAUCAAUUUCUGUGUUUUCAACAAAUUUUGACUAGUUGAGAAACUUUGUUUUGGCAAAAUCUUUGGGUACUUUAUAAGAAGUUACAACAUGUUGAAUAUUUUUUGAAUAAAUAUAAAGUGCAUAAUUUUUCAAAAUUUCAACUACCACUAGUCAGUUAGAAACUUGAUCCAAACGGCUUUUAAACUGAAAAUUCUUGACAAGAUAAACAACUUUUCCAAAGACAUUAACAUUCUAAAAGUCUAAAAUCUAAGUAAUUAGAGUCCUGAGAUAUAUGAAUUUCAAUUUCGUAGGUGUUACGUCUGUUUGUCGGCGAUUCUUGUUAUAUCAAAAAUAGAUGUAACACUGACGUAAUAUCCAUCCCAUAUAUUUCAAGAUCCUAACUAUUUAGACAGUUGGUGUCCUCGACAAAAUUGUUUGGCUGGUCAAGAACUUUCAAUUGAUGGGCCGUAUGAUUUCAAAUCGUUCCACUAGAGGGCAUACACGUUUUUAGUUUAACUUAUCUCAGGAUCGUGAUUAAUUGGAAAAAUGGUUGCUUCAUUAAAGUUGUUUGGUAGAUCAAGGACUUUUAGUUUAAUUGCCGUAUGGUAUUAAUUUCUGCCACACAGUGGUGGUAGUUGCAAAUUUUCAAAAGCAUGGCAAUUUUAUUAAUUACCCAAAACACAUUCAACAAGCCGUAACUUUUUGUAAAAUAUAUCAAAAAUUAUCGAAUUUUGACUGAUAGUUCCUGAUCUUGUUAUCUGUAAUUUCUACAAUAUUGGACUUGAUUGGUUAGCUCUACACAAAGAUGGAGUGCUUUAAGUAGAAUCAUAUUCUUGACUGUUGUUCUACUAACUCUUAUAUUUAAGGAAUAAGUGAAUCAAAUCAAAUUAAAUUUUGAAAGUUAUAUAUUGAAUUAUAUAUUGAUCUUUGAUUACAAUUUGAUUUGAAUACAAGAUGUCCAAAGUGAAAAAAGUUCCAGCUUGUAGAAUACUUUUCAAGAAAUUCUAAUCCCUUGCCUGCUUUUGCAAAAUGGACUUCUAGUGGCAAAAACUCGCAUCUAUUGGUAAAUCAACUGCAAGUCCUUUACUUACCAAACAACUUUGCCGAAGAAAUCGUAUUUCUAUGUAAUAGGGGUCCUGAGAUGUAUGAAAUUUAAAAUUGGUAAGUUCUUCAGUGCCGUUGGUGUUGGUGGAACUCAAACUAUCCAUCAACUGUAAGUCUUUGCCCAACUUAAUAACUUUGUAAUUUCGUCAGUGUUUCGUCUGUUGACCACUGAUUUUUCGGUUUGAGUGGUAUUUGAUUUCGAUUGAAAAAUUUUACAAUAUCGUAGUACAAUUACAUCGUAGAUUUUGGCCAAACACCAUCUCCCCCGUCCUUCAAAAGUCUACGUAGUUUAUGAACGGGCAAUGGUACGUAAUUUAUAAGCGAUAUUUUGAAAAAGAGCUCUUACACAACGAGAACGAAACUGUUUUGAAUAUAGAACUACGUUUGUCCAAUUCAGAAGCCGUCCAAGCCAGAAAGAUUUGUUUUUUUCCACAGAGCUUUUUUCGUGACGUUACAACGCAAACUUCAACCAGGUGAAACUCAGGCUUCCGUAAACCGAUUUACUUUCUUUUGGUCUCAUUUGAAAGAUCUUUUCGAGUACAAAGAGCAUACAGAAUUUCAUAUUUGUAACGUUUUCCGUAUUUCAACAAAAUUUGAAAAUGUUGAUUUUUCGUGACGUUACAACGCAAUAAAAACCCAUGCUGUGAUCAGCUAUAUUUCAGAGUUGUAAAGUCUUCCGAUUAAAAAUCUUUUCAUGCUAAAAGAUUCUCAUACAUUUAUGUACAAAUGAUGGAAGACUUUUGAAAAAUCAGUGUAUUGGUGUUUGAAAUACGACAGUUUGGAUGAAAAGUGUGCCUAAAAGACUUAAAAACACGAUUUUAAUGUUAAUCUUGAUCGUCGUUCAUUUUAUAUUUAUUGUCACACUAAUAUCAUGUCGAAUACAUUUUUGGAUGACAGAAGCAUUGUAGAAUGUGAUAAAAAUGUCAAAUAUGCCAUAACUCAACUUUGAAAAAUUGGUAUUGAUGAUACGGGGCCCGUAGAAUGUGUCAUAUAUCUUAUAUAAUUCUCUAGAACUUCUUUAAACUUCCUUGAAAGUACCCAAUGGAACCCUCAAAAACCUAUUGAAACACCCUGAAAUGCUUUGGAGCCUAUUUAAAACAAAGUCCCCUAAAACCUCCUGAAACCUCUUUGAAACUGAUUAGAAAAAUCCUUGAGAGCUUGCUGAAACCCCCGGAGAUCACUAGAAACGUUUUGAGUCGCCUCGCCAGUCGUCUACCUUGAAAGCCCUCUGAAAUCUCUCUGUAACAUUUUCGACAGCCAUUCGAAAGCGCCCUGAAACGCUCUAAAGCCCCUCUGAAACCUCUUUGAACUCCCGAAAACAACUCCGAACUUCCUGAUACCCCCUGGAAUACCAUAAAGGUUCACUGAAACCUCCGGAAACCACUUACAAACCGCCCUGAACCCCUUUGAAAUUUCAUGAAAUUAAUGGAACCUAGGAGAUUCCACUUAAGUGGUGACAAGACUCCCCUUUAGAGGCAUCCACAAACACUUAAUGUAUUAAUCGCUGCUUGGUUGUAGAAAGAGUUGGAACAGACGACGUUCGGCUGGAUCGGAGGCUUUCAGGUCGGCUCGCAAGGCCUACCAGAAAGCUCUUCGGUCUGCUGAACGAUCCGGCUGGAAAAACCUUUGUACAAAUGUUUCCAGUCUGAGUGAAGCCAGUCGAUUGAACAAAAUCCUUGCAAAAUCUAAGGAUUUUCAAGUGAACGAACUUCGUUUGCCAAAUGGUGAUUUCACUUCCUCUGAUGAGGAAGUUUUAGAAUGUUUAUUCAGUACACACUUCCCCGGAUGUGUGGAUAUUACAUCUUCGGAUGAACCUGAUGUCUUUUCUUGUAGUUAUGAUUCUUUAGCUUCGGCUCGGAGUAUCAUAACUUUAGAAUCGAUUGAAUGGGCACUUAAUAGCUUUGCUCCUUUCAAAUCUCCUGGGGCAGAUGGGAUUUAUCCUAUUUUGCUUCAGAAGGGAUUUGAUCAUUUCAAACAUGUUUUGAAACAACUACUUGUUUGCAGUUUUGCUACAGGGUAUAUUUCCAAAUCCUGGCGGGAUAUUACUGUGAAGUUUAUUCCGAAACUGGGUCGCGCGUCGUAUGAAGAAGCAAAGAGUUUCAGACCUAUCAGUUUGACCUCUUUUCUUCUGAAAUGCUUAGAACGCAUAGUCGAUCAUCACAUCCGUGAUGUUCAUCUGGCCAAUGUGCCUCUCCAUGUGAACCAACAUGCUUACCAAUCUGGAAAGUCCACUGUGACUCUUUUACACAAAGUUGUUUACGAUAUCGAGAAGGCAUUCGCUCAAAAGCAAUCAUGCUUGGGUGUUUUCUUAGAUAUCGAGGGUGCCUUUGACAACGUGCCUUUCGAUGCCAUAUUGGAAGCCGCACGGGGUCAUGGUAUAUCUCCAAUGAUUUCCAAUUGGAUUCACCAAAUGCUCAAAAAACGACAUCUCUUCUCGACAUUGCGUCAAGCGGCGAUUAGGAAAUUGAGUGUUUGUGGAUGCCCCCAAGGGGGAGUUUUAUCACCACUUUUAUGGAAUCUCGUAGCAGAUACGCUAUUGAGGCAACUCAAUAAUAGCGGUUUUCCUACUUAUGGUUUUGCCGACGACUACCUAACAUUGUUAGUCGGUAUGUGCAUCAGCACCCUUUUCGACCUGAUGCAAAACGCUCUUCAGGUAGUUGAGGGUUGGUGUCGCCAAUAUGGCCUUUCGGUAAAUCCGAGUAAAACAUCUAUUGUUCUUUUCACGGAAAAGCGAAACCGUAAUGGUGUUCGAACUUUACGUCUCUUUGAUUCUGAAAUCAAUGUGACUGAACAGGUAAAGUACGUUAGAGUCAUUCUUGAUUCCAAGCUUUCCUGGACACCUCAUGUUGAGUUCAGAAUCAAGAAAGCUUGUAUGGCCUUCGGGCAAUGCCGGCGAACCUUUGGUACAACUUGGGGUCUAAAACCCAAGUAUAUCAAAUGGAUCUACACAACUGUUGUUCGGCCAAUAUUGGCCUAUGGAUGCCUUGUGUGGUGGCAAAAAGGGCGAAGUGAGAACGGUCCAAUCAAAAUUAGGCCAUCUCCAAAGGAUGUGCUUAAUGGCGAUGUCUGGAGCGUUCUCUUCAACUCCCACGGCAGCUCUCGAAGUUCUCUUUGACGUUGCCCCACUACACAUUCAUCUCAAACAAGAAGCACUUUCUUGCACUUACCGCCUAUGGGUACUCGGUUUACUAGAGGAAACUCCUGUGAACCGCAGUUCAACACACACCUCGUUGUUUCCACUUUUGGUGAAUUGGGACAAAGUUGUCCUUGCUCCAAGUGAUCUUACAAUUGCUUGUAAUUUUCCAUAUAGGACAUUUUCCACGAAAUUCCCUUCCCGGGAAGAGUGGACAUCUGGUUAUCUGGAGAGAAGUAUUUCAGACGGCAUCGUAUGUUACACUGAUGGCUCCCUUCUCGAAAGUCGAGCAGGUGCUGGUGUUUAUUCUCGUGAGCUAAGGCUGUAUCAGUCUUAUUCACUUGGCAGACACUGCACCGUUUUUCAGGCCGAAAUCUUUGCUCUUAUGUGCGGAGUGCAAUCAGCACUUCAGCAGCACGUAAUGGGCAAAGUAAUAUACUUCUGUUCAGAUAGCCAGGCUGCUAUUAAAGCACUUGCUUCGGCCAACUCCAGGUCGAAGAUAGUUAUCGCUUGUCGAACUCAAAUUGAGGAGCUGAAUUCAGCAAACGCUGUUCACCUUGUAUGGGUACCUGGCCAUCCUUCCAUCGCUGGAAAUGAAUUGGCUGAUGAGUUAGCUCGCACUGGAGCAUCACAUGACUUCAUUGGCCCUGAGCCAGCUAUUCCGGUAUCCAAGUGUUGGGUGAAGCUUCGGAUUGACACGUGGGCUGCCACUCAGCACAAACAAUACUAGAAUAGUUUGGAGUCAUGUCGUCAAACAAAAUUGUAUUGUACUGAGCCAUCUCUAGGGGUGGCAAAGUAUCUAACAAAUCUGUCAAAGCAGAAUUGUAGCAUGCUGGUCAAAGCAUUGACUGGCCACUGCCGACUCAGUUAUCACAUGGCGAAUAUUCAGCAAGCUGAUUCAUUUGCAUGUGAUAGCUGUGAAUCCGAUUAUGGAACUUCGCAUCAUUUAAUAUGUAACUGUCCAGUUUUUGCGCAAUUGCGUUUCCGAGUACCGUAAUCCGGGGUAUCAUUGAUCAGCGGGGCAACAUUGAUCGGCUUGACCCACCUCAUGAAAUCUUCAAACAAGCAUUUUACAUUGAAUCAGUUUCUAUUAUGGAAUGGUAUAUCGUAAUCUGCUAUCAUUUAUCUAUUAAAUGACAUGCAAUUUAUGAAAAUUGAAUUUCAUAAACAUUGAAUUAAAUUGAUUUUCCAUAACUGUGUUUCGUAACGCAAUGAGAUACAUUGUCAAACAUUCAUGCUUGGCGUGAAUACUGGAUAUAAUAUGAGGUUCAAAAUCACUGUAUUACUUCAAUAUGAUAUCCUAGAGUUGGAUUUAAUAAACGAAACUUUUAUGAAAAUGCUAUUUUUCAGUAAAAUUUACGAUUUAUUAAAAGUCGACUAUCAAUUUCUUAAGCCAUUGCCUACCUUUAGGUGUUAUUCGUGGUUUAGAGGAUUUUAAUCCUAAAAUAACUUAAAAAGUACAUUAUUUGUAAGAAUUUAGACAACAUAUUCGAAAUCAUCGACCCCGAAUUUAGUAAGUAAGGGUAUUUUCAACACAAAUGAACAUUGAUAACUGACAUGAUCAAUGUUACCCCAAAUCAACACAAUCAAAAAUUAGAUUUAAAAACCCUUUUAAACAUGUUUUAAAGUUUUACAAUACUUUUUCGAGUAGCUUAACACAAACUCAGAGAGCCAGUACUUCUUUUAAAAAUAUAAAACAUGUAACAUUUGCUUUAACAGGAGAAAUAUUCAAGAAAGAUCGAAAAUUCUGAUCAAUGUUACCCCGGAUUACGGUACUCGGGAAACACUUAUUAAGUGAAACUGACUUCAGAAACCUGAAUCUUCAGGACGUUCUGUUGUUCUUGACCCGCUGUGGUAAAGAGCUAUAGGCUCUCUUUACGCUUUAUGCAUAUCACAGUGCCCUUUUCAGGGCGCUGUUUGAACCCAUUGUGGCACGCUUAUGCGUUAUUACAGUGUCCUUUUCAGGACGCUAUGUGAACCCAUUGUGGUACGCUUUUGCGAGUAUGACGAUCCUAUUCCCUUACCUGUCCUUUCCCAUGUCCUAUCCUUUUUCCUUCCCUUCUCCGUCAGGUAAAUGAUGAAUAGGCUCGUGUUCAUGGCGAUGGCACAAAUUUCCCGAAUGGAGGAGAACGUGCCUCUAGAGCCGACCUACUGAUACCUGAUACCAUCAGACGAUCGGAACGUAAUAACUUUUGUCACAAGUGCGGAUCACUUUGUGGUCUUCGACAAAGUCUUUCGGCAUAUCCUUCAACGUUAUCCUUAGGCUAUUUCAACGUUAGUUAGAUCGUUUUACACCAAAAAAAAAAACAAUUUAUGCAAAAUUUCAUACAAAUUUCUAUCACAAUGCGGAAUACGGGGAUGCAACCAAUCGCUCCCAAAUUGUGUACAGUUGUUUUGGACGCUAAAACGAAUCAAAAGCUUUGUGCCAAAAAAUCGAUUUUGUUAACCCAGUUUAAUAUAUACCUUAUAUAAUUCUCUUAAACUCCUUUAAACUUCCUUGAAAGUACCCAAUGUAACCCUAAAAACCCAUUGAAACGCCUGAAACCCCCUGAAAUGCUUUGGAACCCAUUUAAAACAAAGUCCCCUAAAACCUCCUGAAACCUCUUUGAAACUGAUUAGAAACAUCCUUGAGAGCUUGCUGAAACCCCCGGAGACCACUAGAAACGUUUUGAGUCGCCUCGCCAGUCGCCUACCUUGAAAGCCCUCUGAAAUCUCUCUGUAACAUUUCUGACAGCCAUUCGAAAGCGCCCUGAAACGCUCUAAAGCCCCUCUGAAACCUCUUUGAACUCCCGAAAACAACUCCGAACCUCCUGACACCCCCUGGAAUACCAUAAAGAUUCACUGAAACCUCCGGAAACCACUUACAAACCACCCUGAACCCCUUUGAAAUUUCAUAAAAUUAAUGGAACCUAGGAGAUUCCACUUAAGUGGUGACAAGACUCCCCUUUAGAGGCAUCCACAAACACUUAAUGUAUUAAUCGCUGCUUGGUUGAUUCUGUCGUCAAUCCAGGUAUCUGCUUUUUAGUGUAAUAUGUGAAAUUUAGAUGUUUAGUGUGAUGCAGCUUCCAGCUAUUGAUUUAGGCGUGUAUGACCCCCUGCGGAAAAGCACAGUGCCUUAAUUUUUUGACAGAUAUUAUUUCAAGGUAGGGUAAGUGUGCCCAUCGUUGUGGUAUUAAGGUAAAUUCAUUUUAAAAACAAUGAUCGUACCAUCUAAUGAAGGGUUGCAAAACGUUAGUUGGUAGUUUUCUAUCCAAAUUUGCUUGGAAAAAUAUAAAAACUAUCGUUUCUCUCUGUUUUCGAUCAUAAAUCGCUUACCACAACAUUAGGCACACUGUUCCUAUUAUGGAGGUAAAAUUUAAUUUUGGUUCCUAUUGUUGCGGUAUCCCAUUGAAAUCAUAUGGGAUACCGCAACAUUAGGAACACUACCGCAACAAUAGGAACACAGCAGCAAAAAAUUUAAGGAAAAUAUUUUUUUAAAAUAGGUUUUUGGGCAAAUCUUAAGCACACAAAUGGUGCAAUCUCAUAAUUUAAGCAUAAUACAUCUAUUAAAAAUGCCUUUUGGUAACAUUUCAGUCGAAAAAGUGCUCAAUUGCCACUACCACAACAUUAGGUACUACCACAACGAAGGGAACAAUUACCCUAAGUAACAUCCUAUUUCACUUCUCUACCAAAGUUGUUCAAUCAAUCACGACCCCGGGUGGUUUUCGUAGGCAGAUUUCUACAACAGUCCUACUUCCGAGCAACCAAAAAACGCAAUGUGUUGCUCUUGAAAUACAGUCCCCAUAAAAGCCAUUUCUCGCCAUGAUUUACGAAUGGCAUUUCAAGAUCGAACCCGCUGGGUCACGUGCGCGAUCUUCAUCAUAUCGAGGAGAUGGCGCACCAUGGCGCAGAUUUACUAAGGAAACAGCGCACACACCGCAUCCGAAAGUAGUGAGUUACUGCUAGUUUUGCCUCAUCCUUUGUUCCGAGCAGUGGUGAUUGCACAUCAUCCGCUGCCAAAAAGUGUGUUUUGAGAAGCGCUAUACGCAUCAAUCUAGCGCGGCCGCGGCGGCGAUAUGGUUCGUUUGCUGAGCUAGGGAAACGAUACGGUCAAGUGGCAGCUGCACUAUAGGAUAUCAGGCGGACAAAAAUCAGAAAAGUGACUUCCACUAAUGCUUGUUCUGAAAUUUUCUAUCGAUAAUAAACAUAUAAACUAAGAGAAAUCUAGAAUUUCAAGUUUCUAGCUGAUGUAGUUACAAAGAUAUUGAGUAUCAAAGUUGAGUAAAGCUAAAAAAUGUAA